rnacentral:piRNA from 1 species
UAAAAGGAUUAUGUCAUACAUGACUCCGGA